CCUACGGGAGGCUGCCGUGAGGAAUAUUGGUCAAUGGACGAGAGUCUGAACCAGCCAAGUAGCGUGAAGGAUGACUGCCCUAUGGGUUGUAAACUUCUUUUAAAUGGGAAUAAAAUGUUCCAAGUGUGGGAUUUUGUAUGUACCAUAUGAAUAAGGAUCGGCUAACUCCGUGCCAGCAGCCGCGGUAAUACGGAGGAUCCGAGCGUUAUCCGGAUUUAUUGGGUUUAAAGGGAGCGUAGGUGGAUUGUUAAGUCAGUUGUGAAAGUUUGCGGCUCAACCGUAAAAUUGCAGUUGAAACUGGCAGUCGUGAGUACAGUAGAGGUGGGCGGAAUUCGUGGUGUAGCGGUGAAAUGCUUAGAUAUCACGAAGAACUCCGAUUGCGAAGGCAGCUCACUGGACUGCAACUGACACUGAGGCUCGAAAGUGUGGGUAUCAAACAGGAUUAGAUACCCGAGUAGUC
rnacentral:rRNA from 1 species